CCUACAUACAUUAUUCGAUCAUUUGCUUCUCUCCAUGUCUUAGGGGAUGUUUGGCCUAGCUAUUCAAAAAUGAUUUUGAAUCCAAAAUCACUUUUGAGCUCAGUUGAGUGUUUGAAAAUGACAUUCUGAAAAUCUGAUUUUGCUUUUUAGAAUCAGAAAACUGAUUUUAAAGGCUCCAGAAUUAUAAACAGAAAAAAACUGCUUCUCCAAAACUGAUUCUGAUUUUGAACUCAAAUUCUAACUUUUAUUUUUAUUUUAGAUUCAAAGUACAAAUUUAACAUUAAAUUUAAAAUUUGAAAUUUUAAAUUCAUAUUUGAAUUUUUAAAUCUCAACUUUUCAAUUUAAAAUUUAAACUUUACAUUUAAAAUUUAAAAUUUAAGUUUCAAAUCUCAAAUUUUGAAAUUUUAAAAUUCAAAUUUUAAAUUUCAAAAUUCAAAAUUUUAAAUUUUAAAUUUUANUAUUUUAAAAUAAAAUUCAGUAAAAAUAUUAAUAUAUGCAAACAUCAAAAUUUUUUUGUCAAAUAGUUUUAGAAAAUCACUUCAGAAAAAUCACUUUUUUCUAAAUUCAACCAAACGCUCUACAGUUUUUCACCAAAAUCAAUUCUCCAAACCAAAAUCACUUUUACAGAAAUCACUUAUCCAGAAGCUAGGCCGAACAGGCCCUUAAUACGUGCUGAUAAUUUAAGCAUCCGUAAAAUCAUAACAGAUGAUAUAAAGCAAGGAGUCCAUGUAAUCUAGUGCCAUGUUCAUGCAGAGAGUUGAGUUGGCAUACAAUAUUAAUAAGCAUUAUUAAAAUUGAUUAUAUCUGAAAAUUUAAGCUGUCAAAAAAUAAUAUUUUAGCAGUGACUAAAAAUUUGAUAGAAUUUAAAUUCGAGACCUCCUACUCAGACACAAUAUAAAAUAAUUU
rnacentral:lncRNA from 1 species